AUGGCUCGUACAAAGCCGACUGCCCGCAAAUCGACUGGCAAAUCGACCGGUGGCAAAGCACCCGGGAAGCAACUGGCUACAAAAGCCGCUCGCAAGAGUGCGCCCACUACUGGAGGGGUGAAGAAACCUCAUCGUUACAGGCCUGGUACUGUGGCACUCCGUGAAAUUAGACGUUAUCAGAAGUCCACUGAACUUCUGAUUCGCAAACUUCCCUUCCAGCGUCUGGUGCAAGAAAUUGCUCAGGACUUUUAAAACAGAUCUGCGCUUCCAGAGAGCAGCUAUAGGUGCUUUGCAGGAGGCAAGUGAGGCCUAUGUGGUUGGCCUUUUCGAAGACACCAACCUGUGUGCUAUCCAUGCCAAACUUAUGUCUGGCCGUGGUAAGGGUGGAAAAGGUUUGGGUAAAGGAGGCGCCAAGCGUCACCGCAAGGUUUUGCGCGACAAUAUUCAGGGCAUCACUAAGCCAGCUAUCCGGCGCCUUGCUCGUCGCGGCGGUGUCAAGCGAAUUUCUGGCCUUAUCUAUGAGGAGACUCGCGGCGUUCUGAAGGUGUUCCUGGAGAACGUGAUUCGUGACGCUGUCACUUACACAGAGCACGCCAAACGCAAGACUGUGACAGCAAUGGAUGUGGUUUACGCGCUGAAGCGACAGGGGCGCACUCUUUACGGCUUUGGUGGCUAAACCUCCUUGCUCCACUCUAUUUUCAUUUUCAACCAAAGGCCCUUUUCAGGGCCGCCCACUUUUUUCGUAAAAGAGCGGACAUCUUGUUAUCCUGCUUUGUUCCAGGUUUUUGCUGAGUAGUUACUGUGCACGUGUGUUGAUUUGCAGUUCUGUGCCUCCUCAUGGAUCUGAGAAGAUGGACGUGGAGGAUGAAAAUCUGUCUGAUUAUUUUGAACUGAUGUUUGUUGCUAUGGAGAUGCUGCCUAUAUGUUGAUGUUGCGGACGUUAAGUCACUAGCCUACAGCCUUGUAGUCCAUACUCAGAGACCCUGCUACUUACUUGACAUCUCAACUCGAAAGUCCAAUUAAUAUGCACUUCAAACUUUAAUAGGCUUCAAACAGAAUUUCUUUCAUUAUCUCUGCAAAACAGCUUCUCCCAUCAUCUUGAAAUUAGUGAAUGGCAUUUUACUGUUUUAGUUGGAGUCAUUUCUGUGGUUUUCUUUCACAUCCUGCAUAACAAUCCAUCAGUAAGUUCUAUGAGCUCUUCUUUGAAAACAAACAGAAUCCAACUGUUUCUCAUUCCCACUUCUGCUCUGGUCAAGCCACUGCCAACGCUCACCUUUAUUGUUGUAGCACCCUCAUUGCCUAGUUCUGUCCCACAGAUUUCCAAUAAAGGGUGAAUAAAAUCAGGUCACUCUUCUUCUGAAAA